GAUGAACGCUGGCGGCGUGCCUAAUACAUGCAAGUCGAGCGAACAGACGAGGAGCUUGCUCCUCUGACGUUAGCGGCGGACGGGUGAGUAACACGUGGAUAACCUACCUAUAAGACUGGGAUAACUUCGGGAAACCGGAGCUAAUACCGGAUAAUAUAUUGAACCGCAUGGUUCAAUAGUGAAAGACGGUUUUGCUGUCACUUAUAGAUGGAUCCGCGCCGCAUUAGCUAGUGGGUAAGGUAACGGCUUACCAAGGCAACGAUGCGUAGCCGACCUGAGAGGGUGAUCGGCCACAUGGGAACGGGAACCCGGCCCAGACUCCAACGGGAGGCAGCAGUAGGAAUUUUUCCGCAAUGGGCGAAAGCUGGACGGAGCAACGCCGGGUGAGUGAGGAAGGUCUUCGGAUCGUAAAACUCUGUUAUGAGGGAAAAAAAAAUGUGUAAGUAACUAUGCACGUCUGGACGGUACCUAAGCAGAAAGCCACGGCUAACUACGU
rnacentral:rRNA from 1 species